GGGGGUGAAAAGGUUUCGACGGGAUUGGUGUGGGAUUGUCGGCGUGCCGAGGGACUCCGGAUUUCUCGUUAAACAUCCGGUACCACACAACAAAUGGCGAAUACAAUUACGCCAUGGCUGCCUAAUUAGUUAGGCGCCCGUUCCACCGGGCUGUCGCCUUUCCGGUCCGGCUGGGGCGUCGGUAAGGAAGGCUCGGUUUGCCGAACGCCUUUACGGCGAACUUAAAGAUAAAGGCUGGUUGGCUUCCUGGCCUGCCGCUCGGCAGGGGAGCUGAUGAGAUUUUAUAGAGUCGGCUACGCACGUAGAAGAUGAUCUGGUGCCCUUUUCGGACGGGGGUUCGAUUCCCCCCACCUCCAUUU
rnacentral:tmRNA from 1 species